UUUUGUUUUUCUGGUAUGCAAAUUAGGAAAACUUGACCCCAAGCCAAAGUUUUGCUGUGUGAAUGAGAUAUAAUACGUGACAGCAAUAGUGAGAAGCUGGGCGGGGCUUAUAUUUUCCACUUGAGAUCGAAAUUUGACAUACAGCCAUAGAGCUAUAUAGCUCUAUGCACAGCGUAUCGGAAGAGAUUCCCCUUUGUUAUGCAAUUAUGCGGUUUGUCGAAUUGCUCACUUUUUGGAGGUUUCCAUUUUUCAGAAAAGUCCUCCACACAAGAGGAUGUGCUACAGCUGUGCUCUAAACGCACGUGUUGUACCAUGGUUGUACCACCCUUCCAGGAGACAUGUUCAUACUUUAUGGAAUUAUGCUGUUGCUCAUAAUUAUUUGGGCGAAAUUCUGUGUUAAUUGGCAAACCGGCUUUGAGAGUUUUACACGAGGCCAGAGAGGGACAAAACUGACCAACUUCAAUGUGGAACCGUACUCACGGCUGUGCGAAUUCCACGGAGUUUGUAUUAACUUUUAUAGCUGACAGCUGGACUAAUUUGAUGGACCUAUGUUUUAUGUAACCGCAGGAGGUAUUCGAGCCAUCUGUUAUUCUACUUAUUGGAAGGAAUUUAUUGUUCUAAGUUGGGCGACAACUGUGUUGAGCUUUGAGAGUUCUACAUCGUCGUUGUGGAACUCUUGUCUGUGCGAAUUCCACCGAGUUAGCCUGUCAUGGCCUGAUGAAAAGUGUAGCUAAUGGAGCCAUUCGAAUACAUGGCCAGGUACGGUAGGGGAGCACAGGGACGGACGACAUGACCGGGGAGGCCGACACGAUCGAGCAUGACGGGGAGAGAGAGCCAACCACACGGCAUGCAUUCAGCCACGCGCCUACAGGGGCCCGGGUGCGUGCGUGCGUUCAGCAAUGGCGAAUAGUGUUUCUUCAAAUCAAGCCGAUUUUAUUCUUGGAUCAUGGCCCAUGAAAGCUAGAAAUGAACAUGAACUUCAAAUACUUAAGACAUGAUCUUUUGGAGAAAUAUGUGUGAUAUUUUGUCUCAUGAUGAUCAGCAAUAUGUCUGUCAAGAAGGAAGUUUUAAACUUCAAUCGAGAAAUCUUCAAGUUCAUAAUUUGUCUAAUGAGCGAUAUGUCAAUUGACAAGUGUUCAAGAAAGCAAUGUUCAAGCAAGAAAUCUUCAAAUACACAGUGGAUCUUGUCAGAAUGAUGGAGAAUGUGAAGCUUUAGAUGACACUGAUGAUGAAAACAAGGAGGACUUUGCGGAACAUUCCCAGAUGACUUCGGCCAACAAUCAAAAAAACUAUCAGAGUAUUCAUCAGAAACUGUUCAAGCUGGUAUGGAAAGAUCUGGCUGUAUGAGACUUCGGCCAACAAUCAAAAAAACUAUCAGAGUAUUCAUCAGAAACUGUUCAAGCUGGUAUGGAAAGAUCUGGCUGUAUGAGAGCGGCUUCUCAAGGUGGUUGACUAUCAUGAGAGUAGUUUCCAAGACUUUGUCGGACACAAUGAUGCCGUUCAGCUUGUCCGCUUUACACCCUCUGGCAAACAGGUCUUCACUGUAGCAUACAAUCAGAUACUGGUGUGGGAGGUUGUGGUGUAAAUGGAACGGUAACCAUUGAGCUAGUCAGGGCCCAAUUUCAUACAGCUGCUAAGCACAAAAAUUGCUUAGCAUGAAAUAUUUACCUUG